UACGUAGGGCGCAAGCGUUAUCCGGAAUUAUUGGGCGUAAAGAGCUCGUAGGCGGUUUGUCGCGUCUGCCGUGAAAGUCCGGGGCUCAACUCCGGAUCUGCGGUGGGUACGGGCAGACUAGAGUGAUGUAGGGGAGACUGGAAUUCCUGGUGUAGCGGUGAAGUGCGCAGAUAUCAGGAGGAACACCGGUGGCGAAGGCGGAUCUCUGGGCCUUACCUGACGCUCAGGUGCGAAAGCUAGGGGAGCGAACAGG
rnacentral:rRNA from 1 species